rnacentral:rRNA from 1 species
UACAGAGGGUGCAAGCGUUAAUCGGAAUUACUGGGCGUAAAGGGCGCGUAGGUGGCCAAGUAAGUUGGAUGUGAAAUACCUGGGCUUAACCUGGGAACUGCAUCCAAAACUGCCUGGCUAGAGUAAGGUAGAGGGAAGUGGAAUUUCCGGUGUAGCGGUGAAAUGCGUAGAUAUCGGAAGGAACACCAGUGGCGAAGGCGGCUUCCUGGACCUAUUACUGACACUGAGGCGCGAAAGCGUGGGGAGCAAACAGG